rnacentral:rRNA from 1 species
GACGAACGCUGGCGGCGUGCCUAAUACAUGCAAGUCGAACGAAGCUUUUUUAACUGGUGCUUGCACAGACAUAAACAACUGAGUAGCCAACGGGUGAGUAACACGUUGGUAACCUGACCCAAAGCGGGGGAGAACAUUUGGAAACAGAUGCUAAUACCGCAUAACCACAGACAACACAACGAUUCUGUGUCAAGUAUGCUUUAGCGUAUGACAUUGGGAGGGAACCGCGGCGUAUUAGCUAGUUGGUAGGGUAAUGGCUUAACAAGGAAAUGAUACGUAGCCGGACUGAGAAGUUGAUCGGCCACAUUGGGAAUGAUACACGGCCCAAACUCCUACGGGAGGCAGCAGUAGGGAAUCUUCCACAAUGGACGAAAGUCUGAUGGAGCAACGCCGCGUGAGUGAAGAAGGUUUUCGGAUCGUAAAACGCUGUUGUCAGAGAAGAACGUGUGCGAGAGUAACUGUUCGUGCAGUGACGGUAUCUGGCCAGAAAGCCACGGCUAACUACGUGCCAGCCGCCGCAGUAA